rnacentral:lncRNA from 10 species
GCGCCAAUGCACUCCAGCCUGGGGGACAGAGCGAGACUCCGUCUCAAAAAAAAAGAAAAAGAAAGCUGAAUCUCUACUUCAUAAUGAGAGUAAAUCUUGCUACUGCUCGCUCUUUGGGUCCAGGCUGCUCUUAUGAGCUGUAACACUCACGGCGAAGAUCUGCAGCUUCACACCUGAGCCCAGCGAGACUACGAGCCCACCCGGAGGAACGAGGAGCUCCAGACGCGCUGCCUUAAGAGCUGUAACACUCACCGCGAAGGUCUGCAGCUUCACUCCUGAGCCAGCGAGACCACGAACCCACCAGAAGGAAGAAACUCCGAACACAUUUGAACAUCAGAAGGGAUAAACUCCAGACGUGCCACCUUAGGAGCUGUAAACCUCACCGUGAGGGUGCGCGGCCUCAUUCUUGAAAUUGAGUUGACUUCAAGAAUCGGUCUUCGAGCUUCUUUCCUCAGCUUGGUUGAUUCUGCUGUUAAUACUUGAACCCAGCCAGCAUGCUUGUGAGAAGCAUGCCUGAGUCCUAGAGAGUCAAUAGUCUCUGAUGAAUGCCACCCAACAGUCAAUAUCAACUGAAAGCCAUCUGCGUGAGCCAUCUCAGUCCAGUCAAGCUAUCAACAUGACUGCAGCAGCACUGGAGACUGCAAGAAAGAAUUGCCCAGCUUAGGCCAGUCAACACACAGGAUUACAAAAGGUAAUUAUAAAUUAUUGUUUCAAGUCACUGAGUUUUUGGAUAACAACAAAUAAAAUGAGCAAUGUAAGUUGGAUAACCUUUAUCCAAAACACUUGGGACCAGAAUUGUUUCAGAUUUCGGAUUUGUUUUUUUGGAUUUUAGAAUAUUUGCACAGACAUAAUAAGAUAUCUUGGGGAUGAAACCAAAGUCUAAAAACAAAAUUUGCUUAUGUUUCAUAUAUACUUUACACACAUAAGCUGAGAUAAUUUUAUACAAUACUUUGAAUAAUUUUGUACAUGAAGCAAAGUUUGUACUAAGUACUUAUGUAUGGAAUUUUCUACUUUUAACUUCAUGUUGGUACUCAAAAAGUUUCAGAUUUUGGAGCAUUUCGGAUUUCAGAUUAUUGUAUUAUGCAUGCUCAAUAUGUACAUGCAAUAUGCCUUAAAACACGCAGAAGUAUACCUACAACUUAAAAUAAUAAGGAAUUCAAAAUGUCAAAUCUGUACAUCUGGAGACAUUUAAUAAACAUAUGUCAACAUUUUAAAAUAGUAAUUAAUCUUCAUUUAUUAACACAAUCCUUGACAUGUAGAAGGUGUUUUGUAAAUAUGUUAAAACAUAGACACAGGCAAGCUGUAGGGUCAAGGAAAGCUUAAAAGAGGGAAGAAUAUUGAAUCUAGGUGAAAAUGAUAGAUAUAUUUUCUCCAGAGCUCUUCAGGAUCCCU